rnacentral:rRNA from 1 species
GUCCACGCCCUAAACGAUGAUGACUAGUUGUUGGAGGAGUUAAAUCCUUUAGUAACGCAGCUAACGCGAGAAGUCAUCCGCCUGGGGAGUACGGUCGCAAGAUUAAAACUCAAAGGAAUUGACGGGGCCCGCACAAGCGGUGGAGCAUGUGGUUUAAUUCGACGCAACGCGCAGAACCUUACCAGCCCUUGACAUGCCGUGCUACACGCAGAGAUGCGUGGUUCCAGCAAUGGACGCGGACACAGGUGCUGCAUGGCUGUCGU